ACUCCUACGGGAGGCAGCAGUGAGGAAUAUUGGUCAAUGGGGGGAACCCUGAACCAGCCAUCCCGCGUGCAGGAAGACAGUUCUAUGGAUUGUAAACUGCUUUUACUGGGGAAGAAUAAUGUUGACGAGUCGACAGAUGACGGUACCCAGUGAAUAAGCAUCGGCUAACUCCGUGCCAGCAGCCGCGGUAAUACGGAGGAUGCAAGCGUUAUCCGGAUUUAUUAGGUUUAAAGGGUGUGUAGGCUGAUGUAUAAGUCAGUGGUGAAAGUCUGUAGCUCAACUAUAGAAUUGCCAUUGAUACUGUAUGUCUUGAGUGUGGUUGAGGUAUGCGGAAUGUGUAGUGUAGCGGUGAAAUGCAUAGAUAUUGGGAAGAAUGCCGGUGGCGAAGGCGCCGCACCGGUCUAACACUGACGCUGAAGCGCGAAAGCGUGGGGAGCAAACAGGAUUAGAUACCCUGGUAGUC
rnacentral:rRNA from 1 species